rnacentral:rRNA from 1 species
UACAGAGGUCUCAAGCGUUGUUCGGAUUCAUUGGGCGUAAAGGGUGUGUAGGUGGCGCGCUAAGUCGGGUGUGAAAUUUCGGAGCUUAACUCCGAAACUGCAUUCGAUACUGGCGUGCUUGAGGACUGGAGAGGAGACUGGAAUUCAUGGUGUAGCAGUGAAAUGCGCAGAUAUCAGGAGGAACACCGGUGGCGAAGGCGGGUCUCUGGGCCGAUACUGACGCUGAGGAGCGAAAGCGUGGGGAGCAAACAGG